UCUCCUAUGUUAAUAUAAACGCAUAUAAUCACCAUUUAUGAUUAUUAUAUCUAUUACGUCUGAAUCUUUAUUAGGUAUGAUUACGAUAUUAUAUUAGACAAUUCAAGCGUUAAGGAUUGCCACUUCAACCCUUUGCGUGCUCUUUCUCUUCCCCAAACGCUCAUCGCUGAGUUCGAUUAAACGCGGGUAUUAGCCUCGCAAGGAUCUAUUUCCAUGCCGACUAAACAAAGCAGUGAUUUUUUUUUUCCCCCCUCCGACGCCGCUGUGUUCGGGCUGUGUGACGUCAUGGACUGUAUGUGACUGUACGCAGCGCGUGCCGUGGAGCGCGUGCUCCGAGCACAUGGAAAAGGGCUCGAGACGAAGUACCCAAAGAAUAACUCCAACCUGAAAUGGAAUAUCAGUAACAAAAUAAUCAAAUCUGGAGCAAAAGGGAAGUGCUGCAUGUCUUCUCUACAUUCCAUCGAGGGAGGUAUCUGGCUAAUUCUUCUCGAAGAGAGUCUCUCUCCCUGUCCCCCUGAAUAUGUCAGAGAAACCUGCUGGAGUUGAGUUCAUGGAGAGCAGACUGAAUCCUUACAUGACCGCCACAUCUGUGCUCUCAAUGUAAACAGAUCGAGUGUUCGGCCUGGGCUGCCUAUAGAAUAUGAAUGGAGGCAAUACAUCGACUGGAUGUUACACAAUACGGGGUCACCGUAAAGCUACAGAUAAUCCGAUGAUUUAUUAAUCAGUGUUGAUGUGAAAAAUUCAAUGAAAUAUAAGAUUUCAUAUGUUAGUAAUGCAAGCGGUAUUUUGUUUUGACUAUCAGAUGUUCUAUGGACCUCACAACGGCAGCAAACAAUACUGCCUACCUGGAAAGCUUUCCUUUAUAACCAAACUCUGUGCCUCUGUCUGGUUUAGCUGCUUGUUAGUAGCCCCUUUUUUUUAAAACAGAACGUUUUUUAUGCCAUAGAACAAAAUUGAAAAAACUAAUUUCAGACAACUAAAAAAAGUUAAACAUAACUUCUGCAAUGAUGAAGCCAGAGUUUAAUUCCUUUUAAAACAAUAAAUAAAUAUUUAAUUCAAUUGGUCCUUCCAAAGCCCAUUUUUCAAACUCAGUGACAGAAAGUAACAGGUGGGAGGUCAGAAGUCGCUCUGUGGGGGCUCGCCGGGGUCAGAGGAGAAAAAGACUGAUGGGACAUAAACAUUUGGAGCUUCCCAGCAUGACGGUGUGUGAGAGAGAUUAUGCACAAGGGCGAAAGUGUGAGGAACAAUAAAGAAAUCGAGCCGUGUGCUUUUGUGUGAUGGGUACGAGUGAACAGGAGGUGAGUGGGAGGACAGAAAAAAAGAGAGACGGACCGGGAACUGUAUGGCUUUCAUAUCAGAAUUUUUGUCUUGUUAAGACUUGUCAACAUCAAUUGUUCUAUUCAUUUGCACAAAAUACAGAUGGAGCCUUGACAACUCAGUUUAGCAAAUAACUUCAUGUCAGCUGCUCCGAGGAGAGCAAAGUCAGUUGCAUUGAAGUCAUUGUCAGUAUAUAAUUCUCAGUUCUUCAGGCCAAAUACUGUGAUGCAUUGAGUCAGUGCAUUCCUCAAUAAUGGCUCUACAAAUCGAAUUAACUGCUGAUCCAUGAAACAACAUGUCCACAGACACUGUAAAAGCAAUUAUCUUUACAGAGGAGGCUUUUUGUCAUGUGUUUUCAAUUGUGCUAUACAGUAUUUUUCCAUUAUAUGUUACACUAAAUAUGUAAUUUCAUACAUCCACAUGGAAUUCUCACUGAUAAAGUGAGAUAAAACUGUUCUAGUAAUUAAUGAUGAAAAGAAAUCAUUAAGAAAAGUGUGCAUAUAACACUAAAGUACUAUUUUUGAUCUAUUUUAAAUACUGUCUAACCAAAUUAUUUUAAAUAUCAUAUUAUGGUUAUACUCUGGUACUUAAGGGUAUGGUAAUGUAAAUAGCAUUAUGUGCUUUAGCGUAACAUUAACAGUUGAGGAAAACAUUUUAUUCGCCAGGUUAUUGUUGUCUGUUAAAUAUUUGAUUAGCUCCCUGUUAAAUAUUUGAGAGCAGUGAGGGAUAAAGCAUUUUCAGUUGAUGCUGAAUCAUUAUAUGUGCUGGCCCAUGAAUAACUGUCCCACUGCGGUGAUCUCAGUUAUAACAGUUAAGGUCUGACAGACCAGAUAAAGCAGGCUAAAAACACUGGCACAUGGUCUUGAAAUGUGAUUGUCAUGAACUGCAUUGCUGUAUUACAUAUGCUUUGCUCUGGAAGAUGAUUAGGACAAAUAAAUACUGACCUUACCAUUUAAA